GGUUAAGCGACUAAGCGUACACGGUGGAUGCCCUGGCAGUCAGAGGCGAUGAAGGACGUGCUAAUCUGCGAAAAGCGUCGGUAAGGUGAUAUGAACCGUUACAGCCGGCGAUGUCCGAAUGGGGAAACCCAGUGCAAUUCGUUGCACUAUCGUUAACUGAAUACAUAGGUUAACGAGGCGAACCGGGGGAACUGAAACAUCUAAGUACCCCGAGGAAAAGAAAUCAACCGAGAUUCCCCCAGUAGCGGCGAGCGAACGGGGAGCAGCCCAGAGUCUGAAUCAGCUUGUGUGUUAGUGGAACGGUCUGGAAAGUCCGACGGUACAGGGUGAUAGUCCCGUACACCAAAAUGCACAGGCUGUGAACUCGAAGAGUAGGGCGGGACACGUGGUAUCCUGUCUGAAUAUGGGGGGACCAUCCUCCAAGGCUAAAUACUCCUGACUGACCGAUAGUGAACCAGUACCGUGAGGGAAAGGCGAAAAGAACCCCGGCGAGGGGAGUGAAAAAGAACCUGAAACCGUGUACGUACAAGCAGUGGGAGCACCUUCGGGUGUGACUGCGUACCUUUUGUAUAAUGGGUCAGCGACUUAUAUUCUGUAGCAAGGUUAACCGUAUAGGGGAGCCGCAGGGAAACCGAGUCUUAACUGGGCGUUAAGUUGCAGGGUAUAGACCCGAAACCCGGUGAUCUAGCCAUGGGCAGGUUGAAGGUUGGGUAACACUAACUGGAGGACCGAACCGACUAAUGUUGAAAAAUUAGCGGAUGACUUGUGGCUGGGGGUGAAAGGCCAAUCAAACCGGGAGAUAGCUGGUUCUCCCCGAAAGCUAUUUAGGUAGCGCCUCGUGAACUCAUCUUCGGGGGUAGAGCACUGUUUCGGCUAGGGGGUCAUCCCGACUUACCAACCCGAUGCAAACUACGAAUACCGAAGAAUGUUAUCACGGGAGACACACGGCGGGUGCUAACGUCCGUCGUGAAGAGGGAAACAACCCAGACCGCCAGCUAAGGUCCCAAAGUCACAGUUAAGUGGGAAACGAUGUGGGAAGGCACAGACAGCCAGGAUGUUGGCUUAGAAGCAGCCAUCAUUUAAAGAAAGCGUAAUAGCUCACUGGUCGAGUCGGCCUGCGCGGAAGAUGUAACGGGGCUAAACUGUGCACCGAAGCUGCGGCAGCGACACUAUGUUUGUUGGGUAGGGGAGCGUUCUGUAAGCCUGCGAAGGUGGCCUGUGAGGGUUGCUGGAGGUAUCAGAAGUGCGAAUGCUGACAUAAGUAACGAUAAUGCGGGUGAAAAGCCCGCACGCCGGAAGACCAAGGGUUCCUGUCCAACGUUAAUCGGGGCAGGGUGAGUCGACCCCUAAGGCGAGGCCGAAAGGCGUAGUCGAUGGGAAACAGGUUAAUAUUCCUGUACUUGGUGUUACUGCGAAGGGGGGACGGAGAAGGCUAUGUUAGCCGGGCGACGGUUGUCCCGGUUUAAGCAUGUAGGCGGAGGUUCCAGGUAAAUCCGGUACCUUUUUAACGCUGAGGUGUGAUGACGAGGCACUACGGUGCUGAAGUAACAAAUGCCCUGCUUCCAGGAAAAGCCUCUAAGCAUCAGGUAACAUUGAAUCGUACCCCAAACCGACACAGGUGGUCAGGUAGAGAAUACCAAGGCGCUUGAGAGAACUCGGGUGAAGGAACUAGGCAAAAUGGUGCCGUAACUUCGGGAGAAGGCACGCUGAUAUGUAGGUGAAGCCCCUGCGGGUGGAGCUGAAAUCAGUCGAAGAUACCAGCUGGCUGCAACUGUUUAUUAAAAACACAGCACUGUGCAAACACGAAAGUGGACGUAUACGGUGUGACGCCUGCCCGGUGCCGGAAGGUUAAUUGAUGGGGUUAUCCGUAAGGAGAAGCUCUUGAUCGAAGCCCCGGUAAACGGCGGCCGUAACUAUAACGGUCCUAAGGUAGCGAAAUUCCUUGUCGGGUAAGUUCCGACCUGCACGAAUGGCGUAAUGAUGGCCAGGCUGUCUCCACCCGAGACUCAGUGAAAUUGAACUCGCUGUGAAGAUGCAGUGUACCCGCGGCAAGACGGAAAGACCCCGUGAACCUUUACUAUAGCUUGACACUGAACAUUGAGCCUUGAUGUGUAGGAUAGGUGGGAGGCUUUGAAGCGUGGACGCCAGUCUGCGUGGAGCCAACCUUGAAAUACCACCCUUUAAUGUUUGAUGUUCUAACGUUGGCCCCUGACCGGGGUUGCGGACAGUGUCUGGUGGGUAGUUUGACUGGGGCGGUCUCCUCCCAAAGAGUAACGGAGGAGCACGAAGGUUAGCUAAUCCUGGUCGGACAUCAGGAGGUUAGUGCAAUGGCAUAAGCUAGCUUGACUGCGAGCGUGACGGCGCGAGCAGGUGCGAAAGCAGGUCAUAGUGAUCCGGUGGUUCUGAAUGGAAGGGCCAUCGCUCAACGGAUAAAAGGUACUCCGGGGAUAACAGGCUGAUACCGCCCAAGAGUUCAUAUCGACGGCGGUGUUUGGCACCUCGAUGUCGGCUCAUCACAUCCUGGGGCUGAAGUAGGUCCCAAGGGUAUGGCUGUUCGCCAUUUAAAGUGGUACGCGAGCUGGGUUUAGAACGUCGUGAGACAGUUCGGUCCCUAUCUGCCGUGGGCGCUGGAGAAUUGAGGGGGGCUGCUCCUAGUACGAGAGGACCGGAGUGGACGCAUCACUGGUGUUCGGGUUGUCAUGCCAAUGGCAUUGCCCGGUAGCUAAAUGCGGAAGAGAUAAGUGCUGAAAGCAUCUAAGCACGAAACUUGCCCCGAGAUGAGUUCUCCCUGAGACUUUAAGUCUCCUGAAGGAACGUUAAAGACGAUGACGUUGAUAGGUCGGGUGUGUAAGCGUAGCGAUACGUUGAGCUAACCGAUACUAAUGAACCGUGAGGCUUAACCUU
rnacentral:rRNA from 1 species